UGAUUAAACACGGGUAUACGUGUUAUAACAUCGUAGUGUGUGUCAGCUCUGGCCAACACCGUACACAGUAAACUGGCUAAACUGUACGUAAUAUUAUGCAAAGUAUUUCAAGGGUAUUCAUCAUGUACAACACAUAAUAUACUGCGCCUAUACGAUAGGUCGUUGCUUGUUUUUGUUUAUCGCGGACUACACAUACUAUAUUGUGUGCAGCACAUACGAUAAGACAAUAUAUUAUAUCCGUUAUAUCGUAAUAUUUAUAUAUCUGUAUUUAAUUCGCUCCAGCGCCGUAGUCAGCAGUAAGUCAUUAUGCUUUGGAGGCUAGGGGAUGGAUCAUUGGACAUUUUUUUUAGAAGAGUUUUUAAUUUUCCACAAAUAUGGUUAAAACGACGCAACAUCACGGCGUUUUAAAUACGAGUGAAUAUGAGUAGCAGGCACGUACACAGAGGGGUUUUUUGGAUGUUCAAACCCCACCCCACGGAAUACUUAGGUUUUUGUAUGAUUAUUUACUUACAUCAAUGUUUGUAUUUAAAAAAAGAAUUUUAAGUAUACUUAAUUUUCAUACAAU